AGCAGCCGCGGUAAUUCCAGCUCCAAUAGCGUAUAUUAAAGUUGUUGCAGUUAAAAAGCUCGUAGUUGAAUUUCGGGAUCAAUAUUUCGGUCAUGCCGUUGGUAUGCACUGUUAUCAUUGAUUUCUCACCUUCUAAAGAACCGUAAUGCCAUUAAUUUGGUGUUACGGGGAAUUAGGAUUGUUACCUUGAAAAAAUUAGAGUGUUUAAAGCAGGCUCACGCUUGAAUAUAUUAGCAUGGAAUAAUGAAAUAGGACAUCCGAUUCUAUUUUGUUGGUUUCUAGGAUCGAUGUAAUGAUUAAUAGGGAUAGUUGGGGGCAUUAGUAUUCAAUUGUCAGAGGUGAAAUUCUUGGAUUUAUUGAAGACUAACUACUGCGAAAGCAUUUGCCAAGGAUGUUU
rnacentral:rRNA from 1 species